UUUUUGCAACUAAACCAACCCAACUGAGGGAGACAGCCUGUGUCUUAUAGAGAGAAAUGUGGGGCAGAAACCAGGAGGCCUGCAGCCUGGGUGCAGGAGAUGCUGGUGAACCCAUAAGGCAGAAGGGCAGGGCUGCCCUUGAGGCACCUGUCUUGAAAGAAGCUCUGAACUCAUGAUGAUCAUUACUCAGUGGAUUCUUUUUGUUGAUUUACAGGCUGAAAAUCACCAGGACUUUUGGCAAGCAGCUUGAUUUGUGGGCUUCUUUGCAGGAUGGAUCAAGCCAACUCCAGCAUUCAUUAGCUGUCUAUCACUUCACUGAGCUACACAUCCGGAGUUCAUUUUUGUGAGCUCUUAGCUUUAAUGAGCAGAAGCAAGGUUUCCAAGUGCACAGUCUCUCUCUUCUUCAUCUCUAGCCAAAUAGCUCAAACAAAAAAGGCAGCUAGGUUUGAUAAAAUAAUUAUACAGAGCAAUACCCAGCUGACUGAAUGAUCACAGGGAAGAAUGUUUUGAAAAUGGGAAUACACAAUCCAAAAGAGGAGAAGAAAGUAGUAGUACCCUGGGAAUUUUUACUUAUUUGACUGCUGUCUAAAGAAAAGAAAGCAGUGGCAGACUAGGACAUGCUGUGUAAAAAUAUUAAAGACAUGGCAUUAUUACUUCAUGAGCUGGCUCUAGGCUGUCAGCAUUUUCAAUAUAACCCUGUAUUUUUCAUAGAGUUAAAACUCACUGUAAAAAUGGUAUGUGCUGGGAUGAAACUUGGCACUUGUCGUAGUCGGUCUGGGAGUCCUUUCCUUAAUUUAAUUUUAUAAAACUGGAAAACACUCGGCACUUGGAGAUUUAUAGAGGGCUCUCCCUUCUGCCAUGGUCGGGGGUGUGGGGCUCACUCUAAGGUCACAGGGCGACUGACAGAAGCAGAAACACUGCUCCAGUGCACUCUGUGGCUCCUGCUUCUUUCAGGCUGGCGUACCCUUGGGCAACAAAGAUGGUCUCUAAAGCAGCGGAAAAUGAGUGGGGACUGGCACCAGAUAGUGGGUGGAGAAAAAUGAUUAAUCUAUAUUGGAAAAAUGCAGUUCUUACUCCCCAUUUGUCAGCUGCACCCCAGAAGGCUGUGGAAGAAGACAAGCCACUUUCAGUUUUACUUUGAUUCCUGGGACCUCCCAAUGAGCUAGGCAAAUAACCAGGCCAAGGCUUUCCAUGUACAUCUCCCCUCCCUCCCCCAAACCCUAACUUUAAACCAUUCCUGGAAAAAUGGAAAUAUAUAAGCCCACUUUCCAUUCCCCAAAUGUCUUUUUACUCUAGGGCAAGCUCUGGGUUUCCACUGGCCGGGGUGCACGAAUGUCUCCAUGCUCCCGAACAUCUGGGGGAAGAGCUGGAUGAAUUUCUUUUCAUGAAAAGGAGCUCCAUCCAGAUUUAUGACUUAAGGUCUUGCCCUGUCCAAGAUGCUUACUCUUGGUGACCGUCCUGCUCGCACUCGAGGGCCGCUUACCGUCUCUCAGGGUGUGAGUCUUUGCAGAAGAAGUAAAACCCCACACGUACUGAAGAAGACUGCUCACAGCCUGCACACACCCCGUGUCCGUUUUCUUCUGCCGAACCAAAGCCACAGAGCACAGCAGAGAUGAAGAAUGGCUAAUACUCAUGGCAGGUAUCCCGAGGGCCUCCUGGGCAGGGCCAGGGUUCAGUGGUGAGUCACAGGAAGGAGCAGCUGCUGACGAGGAUUCCGAGGUGGAGCUGCCAGGGCAGCACAGAGGCCUUUCCUGGAUUUAUUACUCCCGUGUAAGUCUCCUGAGUCCUGAAGCACCAGAAACUUCUCAACAAAGUAAGGAAAAUAAUGCACAAUGUGAGGGAGGUACAUGCAGGGAAAACAUUGUGUGGGGAGCUGGUGCAGGCAUGGGAGCCCUAGAGAGGCCUUUCAAAGUGUGAGGACAGUGGUGGUUGUGGUGAGUGUGAAGGACGCCGCCCACUGGCUUUUGCUGGGGCAGUGCGGUCUGGCCUCUGCUCAGGAAGAGUGUAGUCUUUCAAGGACCCACAAAAAGAGAUGUCCUCCCAAGGGGAGGUCAGAAAUCCAACAGCCCUAACUGGAAGAGCAUGGCAACAGUGGGACAUAUGUCUGAAGAGUGGACAGUAGCUGCCCAAGUGCCUCUCUUGUCUUGCAAUCUGUACUUACAAUGUGGAUUUGCUUUUGGCUCCUCAUGUCCUCUGGGUGUGGUUCUCGGAUCUCCCUGGAUCCUGUAUGCUCCAGAGACCCCCUGAGCAUUCAGUGAGGGUGCAAGGGAGAGGUGGCUCAGCUCAGAUUCCCGGGCCAGUUCUGACCAGCAAAAGCAUCAUUUGGCUUUGGAGGCUCUAAAACCAAUGGAGUCUCUUUAGGCAACUGGGGAUUUAAAGCAACCUAGGCCUGGAUGAAUACAUGCUGUUCGGCUGGAAAUGGGCACCUUCUUGACUGAAUUUGGUCUUAUUAUGGGCUUUGCACAGAGCUACAUCCAGAGCCCUUUUUCAUUUUUAGACAGAAUCUCACUAAGCUGCUCAGGCUGGGCUUGACCUUGUGAUCCUCCUCCUCUGGCAGGAUCCAACCCCCACAGUGCUGGGAAAAUGGGCAGGGCUGUGCCUGAAUAAAACUUUAUUUAUAAGGUAGUUGCAGCCUAGACUUCUCAGGGCCAAGCAGUGGUCUAGGAAAUGAGGUCAUUAAGGUUUCUGUAUACUGAGAAUAAAUGGUCUAGUAAAACCACUAAAUGCCUGUUCAAGACAUUUUCACCUCCAAAGAAAACAGCUAUUUUCAUGAGAGAAGGAAGAUGAAUUCAAUAUAACCUUUUCUAGUUAAAAUGCUCAAUUUUCUGCUUCAAAAAUACUAAUAUAUGCUUAAAGUUCAGAACAUAUGAAAAUUUAUAAAUCCUUCAAGUCUUAAUAUUCAGAGAUAAUGUUACUCUGAAUAUUACUCUGAAUGUUACUCCUUCUAACUACACAAAUGCACUUGUAUUUUGGGGAGAUUAGUAAAUCUUGGACAAUAUUCUCAUCAGCAGGUAUGGAUCUAUAUGAUUCUUUAAAAUUGCUGCUAGAGUCUAUAUAUGAAUAAAUCAGAAUCUUUUCCUUAAUUACCUUCCUACAGAUUAUUACAUUAUUUCCAAGUUUUCACUAAUAAACUAUGUUAUGGUACAUUUCUUCAUACAUAUGUUUCUGUGUCCAAAUAGCUCCAUAGAUUACAUUACUAAAGUGGCAUUGCUCUGUCAUUGAGAACCAUUUAAAAUAUUGAUAUGCACUGCCAAAUUGCCCUCCAGAGAUUUUAUACUGAUUUAUGUUUUGGGCAACAAUGUAUAUUAGGAUAUGUGACCCAAUUUUUGGAUACUGUGGUCAGCAGGGAGAAAAAUGCUUCACCUCUUCCCCCAAAUGCACAUUGUAAUUACUGAAAUUUAUGAAUAUACUACCUCACAUUGAAAAGGGGACUUUGCAGAUGUGAUCAAGAAAGAAUCUGGAGAUGGGAGAUUAUCCUAGGUACUCCAAGUUGGCCCAAAGUAAUCAAGAAGGGUCCUUGUACAGUAACAGGGGAAACAGUUCAUAGAGAUGUGGGGAUACUCUGCUGCUGCCCUGAAGAUGGGAGAAAGGCCUCAUCCAAGGAAUACAGGUGGCUUUCUAGAAGCUGGCAAAGGCGAGGGGAUGGAUUUUACCUUCGUAUGUGGUACUGAGAUGAGCCAGGCACACAGGGCCACUGCUGUGGUCUGAAUGGCCCCUCCAACCUUCAUAUGUAGGAACUUUAAUUCUCCAAUAAGGCGGUGUUAGGAGGUAGAGUCUAGAGGGAGGGGGCUGGGCCAGGGGAACAGACUCUUCAUGAAGGAAUUGAUGUCUUUCUCAUGAAGUGGGUUCGCUAUCUUGGGACUUCAGCCUCCUUUCCCCUCUUCCACACACAUCUACUUGAUCUUCUGCUUUCCAUCAUGCAACGAAGCAGCACCAAGAAACCCUCACCAGAAGGUGAGUAGACACAAGUGCUGUGCUCUUGGAUUUUCAUCGUCCAGAUCCAUGAGACAAAAUAGCCUCUUUUCUUUGUAAAUUAUUGUGUCUCAGGUAUUGUGUCAUAGCAACUGGAAAUGGACUCUGCCAUCGUGGUAACCUGGUAAGAGUCUGAGAGCCUGAGUCAGAUGAGGAAGGGGUCUCUGUGUGGAUGAGGGCAGCAGUGAUAGGAGACUGUUUAUGCAGAGAGGGUCAAUCAAACAAUAUAUUAAGAAUAAUGGGAACCAGAUAAUUACAGAUAUGGAAAGAAAAGAUGGAAGAAUCCUGUGUUGUUGGAUCAGAAUUAGAGGUAUAAGAGAAAAUUCAUGGUUUGAUGUAUAGACAAAUGUGGAAGUGGUGUGUGUAUAUUCACAUACAUGCAGACAGGGGUACCUCAGUUCAUGAACAAUUAUGUUUGCAAACAAUCUGGUUUGCAAACAGAAACGUUUGGCAAGUUUGUUUUUGGUUGCAAACUCUGCAUCGGGUGACAAACACUACCACGGCCAUCUUUCCCACACAAACACAAAUGUGGCCAUCUUUUCCAAAAUCAUAGAACAAAUUAAUUGUGAGCCAAGGUGCCAUUGCAUACUUAUAUCCAUACCUGUAUGCACUGAAAAUAGCGACACUCUGAUAGCAACAAGUACACCUAAGAAUGACAUCUUCAUUUUUAAUACUGUUCUUCAGGGCUAGAGCAGAAAAGGUUCAGGAUGAUCCAAGAACAUCUCCUGUGCCACAAAGUGAGAAGUGCUCAAAGAAGGGUAUGGAUGUGUCAAAAGAAACAGCAGCUGCUUUAAGGUUCACUGGCUGAAGCUGGGAUUUUUUUUGUUUUUUACAAAAAAUAAAGGAGGACAGCAAAAGGUUACAGUCCAUGGGGUAAGACUGGAACCCAUGAUUCAUGUAGACAGAAGCAAAUGAGUGGUAAAUUCAGCAAGGAUUAGAAUAUUUACCAUCAUCUCAAAGUGCCUCCCUAUAAAAUGCAUAUUAAUUACAAGAGAAAAAGAAUACUUUUACAAUACAAAUGCCUGAAAGGUGCCACCUUAAUCAGGUGAUGGAAUUCACAUCAGCAGCAGCUUACAGAAGAAAUUGUGAUAAUGUGGUUGGGUGCAGUGAGGAGAGCCCAGCAUCACACCUGGGAUGUUUCUGCCCAAGAUGCACAACUCCAGCCUGGUUCCAAGGAAAUGCCAGACACAUCCAAAUAGUGGGACACAUUUAAAACAGGUCUGGAAUUUUCAAAAGUAUUACAGUCAUAAAAGUCAAAGGGAGUCCAAGGAACUGUUUCAGGUUUGGAAAGACUUAAGAGACAUGACAACUAAAUGCAAUGUGUGACUGCAUUAUUUUGCUAACAACAGUACGGACACAAUGGACAAACUGUAAAGGAACAGGGUGGGGUCAGCAGCUCAGUGUGAAAUGGGUCAGGGAGAAAAAGCUCUUUGUAUUAUACUUCCAACUUGUGUGUAAAACAGAUUAUUUCAAAGUUAAAGUACUGUACACUAAAGAAAAAAGACAUUUUUAUACCAAAUUAAGAAAGACAACCACAUGUGAAAACCACAGGAGAAAGAAAAGCCUGGCAUAUGUUCCAAAGCCUUGGGUUGUGGAGGACAGAGUAGUGAGUAUCCAGGACACAAAGUUGGUGGUGGCUCAGAUUCACCUCCCACCCAUCGUGGCUUCUGAAUACUUUCUCCUUUCUCCACUCGUUUCUGCUCUGAAAAUAAGUGUCUUCUCUAGUCACUAAAUCCUACAGACAACUCAAAGUCUGUAAAUAACAACUUUUUAAAAAAUGCAAAUGCUGAUGAUUUCUCCUCUGAUUUAAAAACAUCUUUCUUAAAAUUCGGCAAGAGGGCUGGGGAUUUAGUUCAGUGGUUAUGCUGCCUGUUUCAAAAGUUCAAGGACCCGAGUUUGAUCCCUGGUACCAAAAAAAAAAAAAAAAAAAAAAAAAAAAUCGGCAAGAGCAAGUUUAUCAUUCAAUUGCUGUUAAUCAAACUAAAAGUUAUUUAAAGUGAAGUUUAAUUAGCCGAAUUACAAUUGUCUGAAUAGGCAAAGCUUACACGGCUGUCCCUCCAAAUUGAUCAGAGACCGGGCCAGGGCCCUCUUGGGCACUGAAAGCUGAGAUGCUCGGGUCCCCUGUGUACAUGGUGUAGUAUCUGCAUAUAACACACAUCCUCCUGAGCACUUUAGUCCCGUGUAGAUUACUUGUAAUACCUAAGGCUAUGUAAAUGCUAUGUUGUAUUAUAUUGUCUAGGGAAUGUCAACAAAAAUAUCUGUACAUAUUCAGUGUAAGUACAAACUUUUUCUGGUUACUAAUUUUUGACUGUUUUUGGUUUAAUCCUUGGAUGUGGAACUGGCAGGUUUAGAUGACAGGCUGUAUUUUAAUUGAUCAAAAUACUAUUUUAUAAUAACAUCAAGUUUUGUAUAGAACACGUGCAGGUCCACAACCAGCCAACAAGCCAGCCAGCCAGCCAGCCAGCCAAGGAAAACCUCUGCCACGGUUACUUCACAAAAGCUUCACUUUUCUUUCCCUUUAACUUUUGUAAUACUUUUUUCCUCUCUGCAGUCAGACCAUGUUACAGAUGAUUUCAGUGUGUUAAGCAGAAGCUCUUCAGCAAAAUCUGGUGUGCCUCUGAAUUGCCUUGAUAAAUGUUUCUCUGAACUGUGGUAUGGAGUGAGGGUCUGAGAUGCCAGCAAAGUUCAUGAAGGCAGAGAGCAAUGAGAUUAGAAGCAGAGAAUUGAACAGGCUGUGCAGUCUUUACUGCACACACAGGGAAGCUGUGGUCAUCUUCUGCAGGGCCUACAUCUUUGUCUGGGCUCGGAAAGCUGGCAGGAUAACAGAAACAUGGACUGGUGCUGGUUUAUCUCUUCCGAUACCACUUCAAAGAGUCACAUAUUCCAUACAAUGGUCCCUGACAGGUUCCAGAAGGACCUUGAAUGCAUUUUGGUCUUAUCUCCUUGGCAACAAAACAUAGAGGGAGCUCAUUAUUUUUGAGCAGCACUGCCAACAGAGAAAUGAAGAAUUCCAUAAUCAUAAUGGAGUUCCACAGAAAAAGAUUCUUGAUGGAAUGAUGCUUUUGGAGUUAAAUUUUUCUUUCUACAUACUUUUCAGAGAUAAGGUACUAAAGGUGAAGGGUGAAAGAGUUUGAACUUUUAAGCAGAUAUAGACAUAUUAGAUUAUAUUCCACGAAUAAGAGUACAAUCAUUAUUAUCACCAUUUUUUCCUUUGGCCUAACAUACCUGUGGCCUGAUCAGCUUUCUACACUUUGCUUUGAUAGGCUACAGUGGGUGGGGAACAGCAGGUAGUCAGCAAAACCUCUUUUAAAACUCUAUAGAUUUCAAAGACAGUGAAAAUCCUUUUCUAUUUUUAGGAAUGUUACCACAACCCUCAUAUGGGGAUGUCCUACAAAAUGCCUCUCAUAAUGAAAAAUGAAACUCAGUCUUUUCUGCCCAGAGCAGCACUGAUCAGGCCCAAAGCUCAGCUUCUUCUCCAAGACUCAUUUUUUCUACCUUUCCUGUAUACUAAGUUAAUUCACCUUGUGCUGCCGUGGCUCGCAGGAGACUAGGACUUACUGCAGAGGUUCUAGUAACGUCCCCUUUCCCUGUUCCCUACAUUUGGCGCCCAACGUGGACGUAAAUCGGAUCCACAAGCGAACUCGUCUGUGAGACAAACUCGGAGUAAAAGAGACAGCACAUGGAUCUCCCAGGACGAUUUCCGGACUUGGAUGAGGGACACUGGUGGUGCUGUUUUUCCACUGAGCUUUUAAAAAAACUCUGUCAGUGAUCCUGGUUUACAGCCAUGAUUAAGAACCCUCAUGGAUCUAAGAAGCGGCAAUAACGUGGCUAAGGUUCUUCAAGUAUUGGUGAUCAGACACAUUUGGAACUUGCUGGAUUGCUUGCAAAAUUCUUCUGUAGAGGAGAACUUGUUGCCUUCUCAGGAACUGCUUUAGAGUUAGCAUCCCUGGAGGUUAUGGUGAGGACAAUAAUGUGAAAAUCUGUCAUCGUUAACUCUGUUGGAGAGUUUUGAAGACACUACCGAGGAUUAAAUGAUCUGGAAAAUUCA